CUCUCUCUCUCAUAUUUUGAGGAUGAAUCUUUUUCCAUCAAAACCUAUCCAUGUAUUCCUAUACAGUUGCAUUUUCUUGCUCUUUCAAAGCACCAUUAGAGCCCAACCAAGUCCCAUCCUCAACUUCUGCGACUCUGAAGAAAAUUACACCAAUGGUAGUCCAUAUGGAAACAAUCUCUACUCCCUCCUCUCAUCUCUAACCAGAAAGGCUCCAUCACCCAACGGCUACUACAACACCUCCUUUGGCGAAGACCCCAACCAGGUCUUUGGCAUAGCCCAAUGCCGAGGCGAUAUUUCACCCAGUGACUGCGAAGAAUGCUUAGACACCGCAAAUAUUGAGAUCAUCCGACGCUGUCCUAACAAGAAGCAAGCAGCCAUAAGAUUCGACAAGUGCCUCCUGAGUUACUCCGACCAACUCUUCUUCUCCAAACUUGAAAAUGGUGUCGUGGUUUAUGUAUUUAAUGUGCAAAACGCAUCAGACCCAAUUCUUUUUAAUCUACGGUUGGCACUGUUGAUGAGAAAUCUGUCCUCUACAGCCACAAAUGGGUCGCCUGCGUCCUACUUCGCAACGAAUGUCACUGAUGUUUCCGACUUCUUAAAAAUAUAUGGCUUGGUUCAGUGCAAUAGAGAUCUAUCGAGCGGCGAUUGCUACUCAUGUUUGCAAUCAAUGAUCGGCUGGAUUCCGACGUGUUGUGCAGGAAAAGUAGGAGGGCAGGUUUUGUCUAUGAGUUGUAAUAUAAGAUAUGAGGUAAAUCCCUUCUAUGAAUUGUCAGUUCCAGCUCCUCCUCCUGUUCUUGCUCCGCCGCCCCAUGAGGAUUCAAAUUCCACCAAUACAACCAAUCCUGAUGCGAAUGGAGGGAACCGAUCAAAGGUUACAUCCUACGUUAUUGUAGGAACGGUUUUAGGAUCGGCUCUCUUUGCUUCCUGUAUCUACUGCUAUCUACGAGGAAGAAAGAGACGACUAGGUAAAAGAAAAAUAAACUCAAGGCCAUUUCAUUUACAUCUUGCUGCCCUAAACUCGGGCCAAACUUUACAGGACCACGAUGGCUUCUGAAUUUCAGGCCCGAAAUUUAAUGGGCUGGUCUCUGGUGGAACUUCACCUGACCCAAUCUUGGCCACUUGACAGCCCUUGCCAUAGCAGCCUAUGGGCCAGGGCUGGUGGAAGAUCAGAUUUUAUUUCAAUUGCCCUUGCAAUCUUUUAGGAUAUGACCUACCAUUUAUUCACACCUUUAUAGAAAGCAGAUGAUGAGAAAAGGUGCCAAUUUCUGUUGUAAAUAGACCAAUGACAAUCAUCAUUUUCGGCUGUCCAAUUUAAGGCAACUAUAUGAGAGUGCUGGGACUUGAAGCCAGAGAGGCAUAAGAAUGGUCUAGAUAAUCUGAGCAAAUAGCCACGGGCCCAUGCAUAGGCUAUGCAAGGGACCUCAAUUACCUUCUUACCAGGACUAAUAUUACAUUCUCAUAAUUUUAUUUAUUUAUUAUUAUUAUUUUUUAAAUCAGAGAAAGAAGAGGGACAUAAAGCAUUAUUCCAUUAUUUGGGGCCUCCAGCGGGUACAGAACUGGAUUCAAGCAUGGAUGGGGAGCAAACUCAAGAAUUGCCAUUGAUUGACUUGGUUACUAUACAAGCGGCUACAAAUAACUUUUCGGAUGAAAAUAAGCUUGGACAAGGUGGCUUUGGCCCUGUAUAUAAGGGAAAGCUAUCUGAUGGGAAGGAAAUAGCGGUUAAAAGGCUAUCAAGGAGUUCAGGGCAAGGUUUGGAGGAAUUCAAGAAUGAAGUCACAUUGAUUGCCAAACUCCAACACAGAAACCUUGUGAGGCUUUUGUAUU